UAAACGAUGAUAACUAGCUGUCCGGGUGCAUGGCACUUGGUGGCGCAGCUAACGCAUUAAGUUAUCCGCCUGGGAGUACGGUCGCAAGAUUAAAACUCAAAGGAAUUGACGGGGGCCUGCACAAGCGGUGGAGCAUGUGGUUUAAUUNGAAGCAACGCGCAGAACCUUACCAGCGUUUGACAUGCCGGUCGCGGAUAGUGGAGACACUUUCCUUCAUUCGGCUGGACCGUGCACAGGUGCUGCAUGGCUGUCGUCAGCUCGUGUCGUGAGAUGUUGGGUUAAGUCCCGCAACGAGCGCAACCCUCGACUUUAGUUACCAUCAUUUAGUUGGGUACUCUAAAGUAACCGCCGGUGAUAAGCCGGAGGAAGGUGGGGAUGACGUCAAGUCCUCAUGGCCCUUACGCGCUGGGCUACACACGUGCUACAAUGGCGGUGACAGUGGGCAGCAAUCCCGCGAGGGUGAGCUAAUCUCCAAAAACCGUCUCAGUUCGGAUUGUUCUCUGCAACUCGAGAGCAUGAAGGCGGAAUCGCUAGUAAUCGCGGAUCAGCAUGCCGCGGUGAAUACGUUCCCAGGCCUUGUACACACCGCCCGUCACACCAUGGGAGUUGGAUUCACCCGAAGGUGGUGCGCUAACCCUUAAGGGAGGCAGCCAACCACGGUGGGUUUAGCGACUGGGGUG
rnacentral:rRNA from 1 species